GCGUUCGUAGCUCAGUUGGUUAGAGCCCUUGACAUGGUGGGGGUCGAUGGUUCGAGUCCAUUCAGACGCACCA
rnacentral:tRNA from 1 species